GGCCUCGUGAUCAAGUGGUAAGGAUACGUGCCUCUCAUCCUCGAGUCGCGGAAUCAAUCCCCGGCCGAGGAGCUA